GUGCCAGACUCCUACGGGAGGCAGCAGUGAGGAAUAUUGGUCAAUGGGCGCGAGCCUGAACCAGCCAAGUCGCGUGAGGGAAGACGGUCCUAUGGAUUGUAAACCUCUUUUGUCGGGGAGCAAAAGCCGGACGUGUCCGGCUGUGAGAGUACCCGAAGAAAAAGCAUCGGCUAACUCCGUGCCAGCAGCCGCGGUAAUACGGAGGAUGCGAGCGUUAUCCGGAUUUAUUGGGUUUAAAGGGUGCGCAGGCGGAUUUUUAAGUCAGCGGUCAAAUCGUGGGGCUCAACCCCGUACUGCCGUUGAAACUGCAUCCCUUGAGUGCGCGAGAAGUAUGCGGAAUGCGUGGUGUAGCGGUGAAAUGCAUAGAUAUCACGCAGAACUCCGAUUGCGAAGGCAGCAUACCGGCGCGCAACUGACGCUCAUGCACGAAAGCGUGGGUAUCGAACAGGAUUAGAUACCCCAGUA
rnacentral:rRNA from 1 species